UGCAUCGGCCAGGAUUCGAACCCGGGCUGCCCGCGUGGUAGGCGAGCAUACUACCACUGAACCACCGAUGC
rnacentral:tRNA from 1 species